GCAGAGCUUGCAGUGAGCCAAAACUGUGUCACUGCACUCCAGCCUGGGCAACACACUGAGCCUGUCCGGCAGAGCAGCGGAUGUACAGAUGAUUCAGUGGCUGGCAGGAAGCCCGCCCUGCCCGCCCGCCAGUGUCAGUGGUGUUGGCAUCAGCUCGGGCAGGUGUGCGGGCUCAGGAUGGGACGGCCGCGGUGAGGAGCCCUGGACUCUCAGCCAGCCUCAUUUGAAGCCCAAAGUUAUUUGGAAAAAGCAACAGGACCAGCCUGGCACAGUGACUCACACCUGUUAUCCCAGCAUUUGGGGAGGCCAAGGCGGGAGGAUCAUUUGAAGUCAGGAGCUGGAGACCAGCCUGGGCAACAUAGUAAGACUCCCAUCUCUUAAAAAAAAAAAAAAAACCAAUAAAAUUAAAAACUAAAUGAAAAAACCAACAGACACCAGAGCAGAGUUCAGUGGAUAAAGCUGUCCCGGGCUUCAAGCCAGGCCGCCCCCUCCCCCACCCCAGUGUCCGCAGCCGCAGCUCGGCUGGGGG
rnacentral:lncRNA from 1 species